rnacentral:lncRNA from 1 species
CAGCCUUACUGUGCUUGACUAUAUUUAAUUUCUUCUAUAAAUCGUUGGAAUCUAUACUAGUUUCUUAAUGACCGAACGUACUUUUAUUGUUAUUGCUCGGUCAUUAUUGUCAAGUCUUCGUUAUCACUUGGCUAGGAUGAGUCGACCUUUCGAUGUAAUCAUGGUUCCGUUUAUAUAGAGUCUUUGUUUCUAUAAUGAUUCUCUCUUCCUUCAUAUUCAAUAAAGGACGUCUAGAUCUCCUCUUCUACUAUCUCCCAUUCUUUCUCCUUUCUUUCUAAUGACCCAAUACCGUUCGGUUUUGAACUGUAAUAGUCAAUACCAUUCGGUUGCUUUUUCCACUGUUCAUUACCGUUCGUCUUCUUCCUAUAAUAGGUAACGUCGUUCGGUUUCGUCCUUAAAAGAUCAAUACCGUUUGGUCCCCUAUCAAACAGUGCAACUUCAUCGCUUUUGGCUGAAUAGGAUCACCGACCAAGAAAAUGGACAACUCUGAUUGCUUCGGAUCUAAUUCUGUCUUGGUCCACUCGGCAAUAGUACCACUUGAUCAUCCCCCAAUUGUUCGUAUUCUACCACGUUCUCCUUCUCUACCUCUCGGCCAUUGGUUCCUCCAUCUUGUAUUGGAGUAUGACCGAACGUCCUUUUGUUUAUUACCAUUCGGUCAUUACCAUCAAACUCUCAUUUUAACCUGACUACACUGAUUCAGCCUUUGACUAAAUUCAGCGUUUGAUUUCUCUAGUGUUCUGGCUUCCACGAGUUAGACUAUUGAUUCCCUAUCCCUGC